rnacentral:rRNA from 1 species
GGGUGCGAUAAUAGCGGCACUAAUGCACCGGAUCCCAUCAAAACUCCGCAGUUAAGCGUGUUUGGGCGAGAGUACUACUAGGAUGGGUGACUUCCUGGGAAAUCCUCGUGUUGCACCCC